UAGCUGUGCUGUCACUGUCACUUUGCUGUCACUCGAAGUGAGUUAGCAUUUGAUGAAUUCGCAGUUUUAAUUUAAAGAAAUUUUACAUUUCUUGUAUUUCCUAAAGCUUGAUUCGAAUCAAAUUACUAAUUUUAGAUACUUUGGAGACAGAUUAACAGAUCCAACAUACAAAAUGAGUACAAACGGUGAUGUUGGGUCCUUAGAUGCCAGUGGCAAAAUUAUAAAAAUGGAAGUGGAUUACAGUGUCACUUGUGAUGAGAAAAUUCCGCUUUGGAAGUCAUGGGCUGCUAGUGGUAAGGUUCAAGAAGCUAUUGACCAAUUACUGGCACUAGAGAAGCAAACCAGAACAGGUGCAGAUAUGGCAUCUACUGCAAGGAUUUUGGUGACCAUAGUGCAGAUUUGUUACGAAGCCAAGAACUGGAGUUCCCUCAAUGAUCAUAUUGUGCUUCUGUCUAAGAGACGAUCGCAGCUAAAACAGGCUGUUGUAAAAAUGGUCCAGGAAUGCUACACCUAUGUCAACAAGACACCAGACAAGGAGACUAAAAUUAAACUAAUUGAAACCCUGAGAACAAUCACAGAGGGGAAAAUCUAUGUUGAAGUAGAAAGAGCAAGACUUACACAUAUCCUGGCUAAAAUAAGGGAAGAAGAAGGCAAUGUGACCGAAGCAGCAAAGAUUAUCCAAGAGUUACAAGUGGAGACCUAUGGUUCAAUGGAUAAAAGGGAGAAAGUAGAACUUAUAUUGGAACAAAUGAGACUUUGUCUGGCAAUCAAAGACUAUAUUCGUACUCAGAUUAUAUCAAAGAAGAUCAGCACUAAAUUCUUUGAAGAAGAUGAUACCCAAGAACUGAAAGAAAAAUUCUACAGACUGAUGAUAUCAGUAGACCAACACAACGGCCAGUACUUGUCUGUAUGCCGUCACUUCAGAGCCCUAGGCGCGUUGGGUGGCUCCGAUGCUCUCAUUGGAAGUGUGGUCUUCCUUAUCCUGGCCCCGUACGACAACGAGCAGGCCGACAUGACGCAUAGAGUGAACGAGGAUAAGGAUUUGGAUAAAUUGCCGGAAUACAAGCAACUAUUAGGUCUCUUCAUCAACCCUGAAAUCAUUAGAUGGAGUACUCUUUGUGCAACAUAUGAGAAGAUGUUGAGACAGACGCCGUUCUUUAGCCCCACCGAUGAGAAGGGGCAGGAGCGCUGGAACGAUCUCAAGAACAGAGUGGUUGAACAUAAUAUCCGCAUAAUGUCGAUGUACUACACGCGCAUCACGCUGCAGCGCAUGAGCGAGCUGCUGGGGCUCAGCGUGACGGAGACGGAGGAGGCGCUGAGCCAGCUCGUCGUCAGCGCGGUGGUGCGCGCCAAGAUCGACCGUCCCGCCGGCGUCGUGCACUUCAGGUACACAGUGUGUUUGUUGCAACAACAACAACAUCCGCACAAUGUCGAUGUACUACACGCGCAUCACGCUGCAGCGCAUGAGCGAGCUGCUGGGGCUCAGCGUGACGGAGACGGAGGAGGCGCUGAGCCAGCUCGUCGUCAGCGCGGUGGUGCGCGCCAAGAUCGACCGUCCCGCCGGCGUCGUGCACUUCAGGUACACAGUGUGUUUGUUGCAACAACAACAACAUCCGCACAAUGUCGAUGUACUACACGCGCAUCACGCUGCAGCGCAUGAGCGAGCUGCUGGGGCUCAGCGUGACGGAGACGGAGGAGGCGCUGAGCCAGCUCGUCGUCAGCGCGGUGGUGCGCGCCAAGAUCGACCGUCCCGCCGGCGUCGUGCACUUCAGGUACACAGUGUGUUUGUUGCAACAACAACAACAUCCGCACAAUGUCGAUGUACUACACGCGCAUCACGCUGCAGCGCAUGAGCGAGCUGCUGGGGCUCAGCGUGACGGAGACGGAGGAGGCGCUGAGCCAGCUCGUCGUCAGCGCGGUGGUGCGCGCCAAGAUCGACCGUCCCGCCGGCGUCGUGCACUUCAGGUACACAGUGUGUUUGUUGCAACAACAACAACAUCCGCACAAUGUCGAUGUACUACACGCGCAUCACGCUGCAGCGCAUGAGCGAGCUGCUGGGGCUCAGCGUGACGGAGACGGAGGAGGCGCUGAGCCAGCUCGUCGUCAGCGCGUUGGUGCGCGCCAAGAUCGACCGUCCCGCCGGCGUCGUGCACUUCAGGUACACAGUGUGUUUGUUGCAACAACAACAACAUCCGCACAAUGUCGAUGUACUACACGCGCAUCACGCUGCAGCGCAUGAGCGAGCUGCUGGGGCUCAGCGUGACGGAGACGGAGGAGGCGCUGAGCCAGCUCGUCGUCAGCGCGGUGGUGCGCGCCAAGAUCGACCGUCCCGCCGGCGUCGUGCACUUCAGGUACACAGUGUGUUUGUUGCAACAACAACAACAUCCGCACAAUGUCGAUGUACUACACGCGCAUCACGCUGCAGCGCAUGAGCGAGCUGCUGGGGCUCAGCGUGACGGAGACGGAGGAGGCGCUGAGCCAGCUCGUCGUCAGCGCGGUGGUGCGCGCCAAGAUCGACCGUCCCGCCGGCGUCGUGCACUUCAGGUACACAGUGUGUUUGUUGCAACAACAACAACAUCCGCACAAUGUCGAUGUACUACACGCGCAUCACGCUGCAGCGCAUGAGCGAGCUGCUGGGGCUCAGCGUGACGGAGACGGAGGAGGCGCUGAGCCAGCUCGUCGUCAGCGCGGUGGUGCGCGCCAAGAUCGACCGUCCCGCCGGCGUCGUGCACUUCAGGUACACAGUGUGUUUGUUGCAACAACAACAACAUCCGCACAAUGUCGAUGUACUACACGCGCAUCACGCUGCAGCGCAUGAGCGAGCUGCUGGGGCUCAGCGUGACGGAGACGGAGGAGGCGCUGAGCCAGCUCGUCGUCAGCGCGGUGGUGCGCGCCAAGAUCGACCGUCCCGCCGGCGUCGUGCACUUCAGAUUAAACAUGGACUCGUCCGAUCGUCUGAACGAGUGGUCCCGUAACCUCAACACCCUGAUGCAGUUGGUCAACAAAACGACACAUCUCAUCAACAAAGAGGAAUGUGUGCACAAACAUUUGUUAGCUACCGCUGAAUAAAUAUACUUACUUAAUAAAUAAUUAUACUUACUUGAAUAAAUUAAUACUUUUUA